AUUGAACGCUGGCGGCAGGCCUAACACAUGCAAGUCGAGCGGAUGAAGGGUGCUUGCUCCUGGAUUCAGCGGCGGACGGGUGAGUAAUGCCUAGGAAUCUGCCUGGUUGUGGUGUAUAACGUCCGGACACGGGCGCUAAUACCGCAUACGUCCUGAGGGAGAAAGUGGGGGAUCUUCGGACCUCACGCUAUCAGAUGAGCCUAGGUCGGAUUAGCUAGUUGGUGGGGUAAAGGCCUACCAAGGCGACGAUCCGUAACUGGUCUGAGAGGAUGAUCAGUCACACUGGAACUGAGACACGGUCCAGACUCCUACGGGAGGCAGCAGUGGGGAAUAUUGGACAAUGGGCGAAAGCCUGAUCCAGCCAUGCCGCGUGUGUGAAGAAGGUCUUCGGAUUGUAAAGCACUUUAAGUUGGGAGGAAGGGCAGUAAGUUAAUACCUUGCUGUUUUGACGUUACCAACAGAAUAAGCACCGGCUAACUUCGUG
rnacentral:rRNA from 1 species